rnacentral:rRNA from 1 species
GAUGAACGCUAGCGGCAGGCUUAAUACAUGCAAGUCGAGGGGUAGAAUUAACUUCGGUUAAUUUGAGACCGGCGCACGGGUGAGUAACACGUACACUACCUACCUUGUACUGAGGGAUAGCCCCGGGAAACUGGGAUUAAUACCUCAUAGUAUCGUAAGAUUAAAGUUCCGGCGGUACAAGAUGGGUGUGCGUCCCAUUAGCUUGUUGGUGAGGUAACGGCUCACCAAGGCGACGAUGGGUAGCGGGCGUGAGAGCGCGAUCCGCCACACUGGUACUGAGACACGGACCAGACUCCUACGGGAGGCAGCAGUAGGGAAUAUUGGUCAAUGGGCGAAAGCCUGAACCAGCCAUGCCGCGUGAAGGAUGAAGGCCCUCUGGGUCGUAAACUUCUUUUAUAAGGGAAGAAACCUAAUCAUUUAUGAAUAGCUGACGGUACCUUAUGAAUAAGCACCGGCUAACUCCGUGCCAGCCGCCGCCGUAACAC